AUUGAACGCUGGCGGCAGGCCUAACACAUGCAAGUCGAGCGGAUGGAGGGAGCUUGCUCCUGGAUUCAGCGGCGGACGGGUGAGUAAUGCCUAGGAAUCUGCCUGGUAGUGGGGGAUAACGUCCGGAAACGGGCGCUAAUACCGCAUACGUCCUGAGGGAGAAAGUGGGGGAUCUUCGGACCUCACGCUAUCAGAUGAGCCUAGGUCGGAUUAGCUAGUUGGUGGGGUAAAGGCCUACCAAGGCGACGAUCCGUAACUGGUCUGAGAGGAUGAUCAGUCACACUGGAACUGAGACACGGUCCAGACUCCUAAGGGAAGCAGCAGUGGGGAAUAUUGGAAAAUGGGCGAAAGCCUGAUCCAGCCAUGCCGCGUGUGUGAAGAAGGUCUUCGGAUUGUAAAGCACUUUAAGUUGGGAGGAAGGGCAGUAAGGUAAUACCUUGCUGUUUUGACGUUACCAACAGAAUAAGCACCGGCUAACUUCGUG
rnacentral:rRNA from 1 species